GGUGCGCGGCGGCGGCGGUACCGGGAGCGGCGGGGGCUGGGGCGCGUCGGCCCCGCAGCUGCGGCUCGUUACGCUCCGCUCGGCCCCGUUCGGCCCCGGCCCUUAACAGCGCCGCGGCCCCGGCGCGCCGCAUGUGAACCGGGAGGGCACCGCGACCGCCCCUGCGCACCGCCCCCCUUCCCUUUCCCUCCCCUGCACACUGCCCCCGCGCACCGGCCCCGCAGAGCUCCGGAGCAGCCGGCACCCACCCCCUUCUGCCCCCGGCACCCCACCAUGAGCAACCUCAACAAGGACACCGAGCACACCAACGGCAGCGGCAACGUCGAGGAGGAGGUACGGACGCUGUUUGUCAGUGGCCUUCCUGUGGACAUCAAACCCAGAGAGCUUUACCUGCUCUUCCGACCAUUCAAGGGUUAUGAGGGGUCACUGAUCAAGCUGACUUCAAAGCAGCCAGUUGGUUUUGUGACCUUUGACAGCCGGGCUGGUGCGGAAGCAGCAAAGAAUGCCUUAAAUGGCAUCCGCUUCGACCCAGAGAACCCCCAGACCUUGCGGUUAGAGUUUGCUAAAGCCAACACAAAGAUGGCCAAGAGCAAGCUGAUGGCCACACCAAACCCCACCAAUAUCCACCCUGCCCUGGGCGCACACUUCAUUGCACGAGACCCCUAUGACCUGACUGGAGCAGCUCUCAUUCCAGCAUCCCCAGAAGCAUGGGCUCCCUACCCACUGUACACCACAGAGCUAACCCCUGCCAUCCCCCAUGCCGCGUUCACAUACCCAGCGGCUGCUGCUGCAGCUGCUGCUCUUCACGCUCAGUGAACUCCAGCCAUGAUGCCAGCGCAGGCUAGCCCUGAAGCUCAGAGCUGUCCCUGGAGAUGGGACACCCUAGUGAUGCCUUAUUGCAGCUAGUGGAGUGGCUGUACUACAGCUCCAUUCCUAGAAGUGUUAAGCAUGAUGGCAGCCACGUCUGGAAAGACUGGUAAGAUGCGCUGGUAUCCUCCCUCUGAAGCUACCCAGCAAGGAUGGAAGUCUCGUCAGUUCUGUUAGCUCGCUAAGUCUCUCCUAGGCUUGUGCUCCUCCUUCCCGGCGGAGGGAUGUGCCAGGGACGAUCGCUCAGGCUCCUUUUGGUUCGGUUCGCGGCCUCCGGGCCGCCCUCGCCCCGUGCCCCCCGACGGCUCCCCCCGACCGAGCUUCGCCGCCUGGCCGUGCCGAAACCCUGGGCGGAGGGGAGGGAGGGAGGGAGAGAAGGGGGUGCCGAGCGCCGCGGCCCCCGCAGCCUCCCUCCCCGGCUUCCUCCCCCCCACCCCAUCCCAACCCCGGGCGGCUCGGCUGAAGGAAAUGAAAGGCCAUCGGUUUUGCAUGUUUUUCUGGCAUGAAUUAAAACACUUAACUUGUGUAUGUGUGAGUGUAAGUUUGUUUGUUCUAGCGUUUGUGUAACUGUAGCAACAGGUCUUGGCCCAACGAUUGAUCCAGCAAGGUUUUCGUCUUGCUUCGGUGAAGACUUGGCUUUUGAGAAAUACUAACUGUCCUUGUCUCACCCCUUCUUCCACCUCCGCUGCCCUCCCCCUUCCCAGUAUGACCAGAAGAAUUUGAAAAAUGUUUUUUUUUUCCUUUUUUUUUUUUCCUUCAAGUACGAUGCACUGGGUUUCUGUUCUCAUCCAUUCUCCAGUUUUAAAGUCAGGGUUAUUAUAUUUUUUUCCUCAGACUUCUAUAUAUAGAACGGCUGUAAGAUAUCUAACUUUCUUUUGCCUUUUUUUUUUUUUUUUUCACGUCCUUCUGAUUGGAGAGAAUCCAGUCCUGCCAAAUAAUCAGCCAUCCUUAUGGGAAUACCGAACAAAAAAAGUACGAGUAUUUUUGUACCAUGUGUAAUAAGGAAAUAUUUAUGCAUCAUAAAGAAUUUCUUGUGUGUUUGUGUGCAAUUAAUUAUUAUUAUUAAAGAGAAAUUGUAAUCCUGUAAGAUAAGUUAAUGUUUAGUUAAAGCUUGAAAGAGAAGGGUUGUCUUCUGUAACAAUGAUUCAGUCAGGCAUAGUAAACAAGAAAUUGUGCAAUUUUUGUUUUUGCAUCUUAUUGCUUGGUAUUGAAGUGCUUUAAGUAUUAUACGACCAUGGCUGUCUCGCUUGUAUUAAAAGAUUUGAGAAUAAGUUGCUAUAAUUGCUGAUCCUAUGAGAAUGUGAAACUGGAUAAUAUAUGAAAUGCAAAAAAAAAAAAAAAUAUAUAUAUAUACCCAGAGGCUGCUGUGACUCUC